UCCGGCAAUGUGGGGUGUGCAGGAGGCAGCCAAUCAUUGAUUCUCUCUCAUCAUUGAUGUUUCUAUCUCUCUCCCCCUCUCCCUUCCUCUCUGAAAUCAAUAUAUAUAUUAUAUGGAGGAAGGGGAUCAUGAGUCAAGGAAUAUAUGAGGCCUUUAGACUGUGAAAGGAUUGACUCUUGAGCCUCUGGAAGGAAGGCAAACCUACUGACACCUCACUUUACCCCAGUGAGACCUGUGUCCAACUCCAGAACCGUAAGAUAAUAAAUCUGUGUUGUUUUAAGCUACUACAUGUGUGUGAUUUGUUACAGCAGCAAAAACUAAUACACAAAGCUGGGAUAGUUUUUAAGUGGAAAGAUCAUCUCAUUAUAUAUAGAAAAAUUCAAGUUUUAAAAAUAUUCUAAGUGUUUAAAAUACUCAAGUGUUUAAAAUACUCGACCUAUGAAAGGAAUGCUGUUGGAAAAACAGAACUAGUCAACAAGUUUAGGUCCUCAAAGGCAUUGUUUUCUCUGCUGAGAGGUGUAAUAUGUUUAUAAUUAUAUAUUUACAGGUCUUCUUCCUGGCCAGAGAGAACUUCGGUUAUGACCCAGCAUUAUUAGAACAGAAUCCCCACUUCUGAUUUGGCACAAUGGAGGGCUAGAGUUUUUUUGUUUUGUUUUUUUACAAACUGGCUUCUGGUUUUGCUUAUUUCAAUCUUGCUUUUCCUUCACUCUACAAGUACUUUUGGUGUUGAGCGCUGGAGCACAUGUUCCCAUGGAGAAUGUGGCCAGCACUUUUGUGUCCUGACAUCAGGUGAAGUGGAGCAGGAGGAGUGUCCCAGGCAGCCAUUCCUACCCCAGGACAGCGGGCAGUGAUGUAGCGACACGUUCCUCAACGAGAUAAGGCUGAGACGUCUAGGGAAGGAAUGUAAAGCCUGUUGGAGUAAGUCCUUUUAAAAGCAGCUGAAGGUGACCCCAUCUCCCUUCCUCCAUUCCCCUGGGGCUGGUGAAGGGCCCUCAAUGCUCCUGGCUCUGCAGCUAAUGAUAAGGAUGCAGUGAUUGGCUUUGAAAAGUCAAGUUGAAGUACGAUUCAGAAAGGUCAGCUGUGAGGUUUGCUUCCUCAUCAGAGUGAGGAAGCAGCUCACAGAAUCCCGGUCACCACUUCUUUUUGGCCUAAGAGUUCAAGCCAAUCAGCACGGGAGGGAAAAAUGUCCUGGCUCCGGUAGGAACGCUUUGCUGAGGGUUGUGGCCAGCAGGCUGUGGGGGUCAGUUCCAUUUUGUCCCUGCAGGUUGGGAGGCAGAGGGGCUCAUCCAAAUUGGUAAACUCAUAAAACUCCCAAAAACCACUCCAGAAGAGUCUAUACAAACUGGGAAAGGUUAAAGGGCAGACUCCCUAAAGCCUGUUCCACAGAUUUCGAUUCAGAUAGUCCAGUGAUGGCGAGCCUAUGACACGCGUGUCAGAGGUGACACGCGAACUCAUUUUUUUGGUUGAUUUUUCUUUGUUAAAUGGCAUUUAAAUAUAUAAAAUAAAUAUCAAAAAUAUAA